CGCCCGCCGUAGGAGUUCAGAGUAGACCGCUCGCUGUAGGAGUUUGGAGUAGACCACUCGUAGUAGAAGUUCGGCUCUCAUAGGAGUCCGAUUAGAAUCUUGAAGGUGGUCGACCGCUGUAAAAACUAGGAUGGAGUUCGAUUUCUGUAGAAACCUCGUUGUCGAUGAAGCUCGAAUAUUGACGGAGUCUGGAAGGAGUUCGGAGAAUAGUUGGUCACUGU
rnacentral:lncRNA from 1 species